rnacentral:rRNA from 1 species
ACGCUCGACACCUACGGGAGGCNGCAGUGGGAAUAUUGCACAAUGGGGGAAACCCUGAUGCAGCGACGCCGCGUGAGCGAAGAAGUAUCUCGGUAUGUAAAGCUCUAUCAGCAGGGAAGAAGAUGACGGUACCUGACUAAGAAGCACCGGCUAAAUACGUGCCAGCAGCCGGGUAAUCUGAGGCGGGCUGGCAAGGC